rnacentral:rRNA from 1 species
CCCAGACUCCUACGGGAGGCAGCAGUGAGGAAUAUUGGUCAAUGGACGAAAGUCUGAACCAGCCAUGCCGCGUGCAGGAUGACGGCUCUAUGAGUUGUAAACUGCUUUUGUAUUAGGGUAAACACCCCUACGUGUAGGGGCUUGAAAGUAUAAUACGAAUAAGGAUCGGCUAACUCCGUGCCAGCAGCCGCGGUAAUACGGAGGAUGCGAGCGUUAUCCGGAUUUAUUGGGUUUAAAGGGUGCGCAGGCGGCGUGUCAAGCAAGCGGUAAAAUAGCGGGGCUCAACCCCGUCGAGCCGUUGAAACUGGGUGCCUUGAGUGGGCGAGAAGUACGCGGAAUGCGUGGUGUAGCGGUGAAAUGCAUAGAUAUCACGCAGAACUCCGAUUGCGAAGGCAGCGUACCGGCGCCCAACUGACGCUGAAGCACGAAGGCGUGGGUAUCGAACAGGAUUAGAUACCCCGGUAU